rnacentral:lncRNA from 1 species
GGCCCACGUCGAGGCGGAGGCUGCGGGCAGCCCCCCUCCCCUGGGCAAAGCCCCCAGCCGGCGGCCCAGGCUGCGUCUGCCUCCAGCACGCCUUGCCAGCCACUCUACAGUGGCUGCUGGAAACUGAUAAUAAUGGAUCGGGGCUUGCAUUUUUUAAAAUACCUUUGUUAAUUUAUUUUCUAAUAAUUCAUUUUAUUGUAUUUUUAAAAAAUAAAGUACAUGACAGACCCGAAGCUUACACAAUUGGGCCUCCCCCCAGAACACUGGAGAAGCACUGUGGUGGCCCACCCUUCUCGUUUUAUUUCAUUUAUUUAUUUUUAAGUAAUCGCUGCAUCCUCUGAGAGGCUCAGCGCACAGCCCCAAGGUCAAGCCCCAAGGUCAAGCCGCGUGCUCCAUGGAGGAGCCCGCGGGCCGCUCUCACCCACCCUCUAACGCGUUCCUCCCCGGCUACUCCCCUUACUGACCCACCGGCUGAGGUUUCAAAUGGUUUGUGGGGACCAGUUUGUGGAACUUAAUGGGGUGUGUCAUUAGCAACAUUAAAAAAAAAGAAGAAGAAGAAGGCAAAUGAGUUAGAAGAUAAUCAGAUUUUACUCCACGUAGGAAAUGCAUUUUUGUUUCAGUUGCUUCUGUGCUUCAUAUCCCGUGGUGCACACGGGUGCUAGAGUGUGAUGAAAACGUCCGUCUUUCUAGGCUCACAGCGAGGAAACACGCUUGGGUGCCGCUGGUGUGCGGAUAAAGACAGCACGGCCAGGCCUGACCUUCCAAAUCCGGAAGAGAGAGCGACGGCGGAGGCAAACCAGGCAGAGCUUCCUGGGAAAAGGGCGAAGGACCCUGGCCGUCCCGAGGAGAGUGGAUUCGUGGGGAGGAGACCGGCGGCACCGUCACUGCCAUCGAUGGGCCCCAAGGCGGGCGGUGGGGGUGCAGGGCCAGGAGACCCCGGAGGAGGAGCCAGCAGGACGUGGCCCCCGCCCGUGAUGGGAGUGGCCGCCAACGGAAACUGCCCGGUGGUGGUCCCUUCAGCCCAGAAAAAGAAGACAGGUUGGGAUCCCUCGAUGGCUCAGCGGUGGAGUGUCUGCCUUCGGCCCAGGGUGUGAUCCCAGAGACCCGGGAUGGAGUCCCACGUCGGGCUCCCUGCAUGGAGCUUGCUUCUCCCUCUGCUGUGUCUCUGCCUCUCUCUCUCUGUGUGUCUCUCGUGAAUAGAUAAAUGGAAUCUUAAAAAAAAAAAAAAAUGAUCCAGAAACUUGGGGCCCAGGAGCCAGUGGGACAGAAAAGACUUGGGAGGAAGAGCAGUGAUGCAGAUGCUUCAGGAAGUCAGAUUGGGUUGUGGCCUUUGGAGGCCACCGAUGUGCCGGGCAAGGGCGCGGAGGUGAGGGGUGGGGGGGCGGGAGCCAGGGGCUCCGGGAGCGAGUGGGUGACACGGGGAGGCAGGCAGGAGGCAGGGCUGCACCUUUGUGCGGGUCGGAACGGGUGCUCCUUCCUCCAGGCGGAGCAGCUGGUCACCCCGCAUGCCGGGCUGGCCAGAGGACGCAGGCUGCACCUGAGCCCUUCCACAACGAGAAGGAACGAGGAGUUCUCGACCAAGGAAGGUGCUGGACCACGUGGGGGGUUUAUUUUUUAAGAUGUGAGAGACCGGUGCGGUUGACUUGGAUGAGCAAGGGGAACCCAUGACAGAAAAGAAAGUAUAGGACGGGACACCUGCCACAGGUAGCCGGGCGGGUGGGCGCCUCCGGUGCACUGGGGCCAGGGCUGGGGCUUCAGGGGUGUGAGGGGGAGCAGCGCUGUGUGCUGAGCCCAGAGCCCGGGGCCCGGUGCGCAGGUCAGCCUGCUGGCGAGAGGUAGUGAGAUUCUCCGCGGCAGGGCCUGGGAGCAGGCGCCGAGCGGGGACGCGGACACGGCCCACAUCAACUCCCGGGGUGGCCAGCGGCUCUGCUGCCCGGGCUGGGCGACGUCUACACUGCCCAGGCUUUGGGCCGAGGACUAGGCCGAAGAGGCCGGAGGGGUCUGGGCACAGCGCUUGAGUUUACUUAAUUUUACUUUUUACUAUGGGAAAUCUUCAAACACACCCAAAACUUGUGGGACACCCAAAUGGACCGUCAUAUACCCAUCAUUAGCCUUCGGGGAUGAUUGUGACUGUCAGUGUUACUGUGUGACCUUCCCCUGUAAGGACUUUUUCAAAUUUUAAAAAAAUCAUUGAACAGAUAUUAUUAUUAUUAUUUUUCAAAGAUUUUUUCUUUAUUUAUUCAUUUAUGAAAGACAGAGAGAGCAGGCAGAGGCAGAGACAGGCAGAGGGAGAAGCAGGCUCCAUGCAGGGAGCCCGAUGCGGGACUCGAUCCCAGGACCCCGGGUCACGCCCUGAGCCGAAGGCAGGCGCUCAACCCCUGAGCCCCUCAUGUGUCUCAAUGUACAUAUAUUUUAAUUGGACUUUUUUAUCCAGAAAGUAGCCCUAUCAUCCCAAACCUUCCCGUGCGGCGAGUCCGUGUGAACGGGCUCAGUCCCAGGGCGCUCGCCCCAGAGCCUUCCGCAGCGGCUGCAGGCGGCGACCGCAGUUGGCCCACGUCUGUGGCUCGUGGGCGCUCUCGUCCUAGGUCUUGGUACUAAUGCAGCUUUCCCCUUAACACUCCUUUCAUUUUUGUUUUUCUUGGUAAUAUUGGUUGACUUCUGUGGGAGGAGUUGCCCCGUGCUCCUUGGCCCACCGUCCACACCCCUCUCUGGAUUUGGGGCGUCUGUGUGUGAGCGUGUCUCCCAGCGCACCUGACACUCGGUGAUUCAUCUCAACGUGAGGCACGGUUGGCCUCAAGAAGUAUGCGUGGAAUUGAAUCAACCCACUUACUUGAUAUUGCCCGUCCUCAUCUUUGUUGCCUUACGCUAAUUUGCAGCUCACAGCCUGGCGCCUGGCACACAGUAGGCGCUCAAUAAGUGUUUGUUCCUGCUGCUACCAAUGACCCGGGGUUGUGUCCACACGUUAGGGCUCUACCGGUUUUCCCCCUUUCUCCCCGCCCUUCCUCCAGGUGGUGAAGACAAGACAUGACCUUGAGGAGCCACCCGGCAGGUGCCCUCACUCCCCCGCUCCCGUAAGUUGGGGGCGAAUCUCGGUUGGCAGCGGGUUCCCCGGAGCAGGUCCCUGCUCUGGGGCUGCUUCACAUGUCUGCGUCGCUCACGAUACCAGUUAUCAUUAGCAGCAAUUAAAAGUAUUUCAGGAUCAGUUCAAAGCUGCCUUUGAGGUAUUUUAAGUCGGACCAAAGUCCUCCCUGUGUCGCUCCGAGCGCGUCCCCGCUGCCGUCAGGAGGCCGCCUGCGCUUGCAGAUCGCCGUCUGUAGGUUCUGGUUGCCUGAACCUUCCGUGCUUUGUGGGGUGUUGGCCACAAGUGGGUCGUGCGUGUGCCACUGCCGCGAGAGCUCGGCCGGGGGGGGCCCAGGGCCUGCGAAGCGG